rnacentral:misc_RNA from 1 species
GAUGAAGAACGUAGCGAGAUGCGAUACUUGGUGUGAAUUGCAGAAUCCCGUGAACCAUCGAGUCUUUGAACGCAAGUUGCGCCCGAAGCCAUUAGGCCGAGGGCACGCCUGCCUGGGCGUCACACGUCGUUGCCCCCCCAUCUACUCCUUCGGGAUUGCGGGGGGCGGAUGAUGGCCUCCCGUGCGCCUCGUCGCGCGGUUGGCAUAAAUGCCAAGUCCUCGGCGACGCACGCCACGACAAUCGGUGGUUGCGAAACCUCGGUUGCCCGUCGUGUGCGGUCGUCGCGCAUCGAGGGCUCGAAAAAAUUGUCGGGCUCCGGCUCGGCUUUCAACGCGACCCCAGGUCAGGCGGGGUUACCCGCUGAAUUUAAGCAUAUCAAUAAGCGGAGGA